rnacentral:rRNA from 1 species
UACGAGAGGCCCAAACGUUAUUCGGAUUUACUGGGCUUAAAGAGUUCGUAGGCGGCUUGGAAAGUGGGGUGUGAAAGCCCUCGGCUCAACCGAGGAAUUGCGCUCCAAACUACCGAGCUUGAGUAGGCUAGAGGUGAGCAGAACUGAUGGUGGAGCGGUGAAAUGCGUAGAGAUGUGGAGGAACACCAAUGGCGAAGGCAGCCUUCUGGGCCAACACUGACGCUCAUGCACGAAAGCGUGGGGAGCAAACAGG